rnacentral:lncRNA from 1 species
UAGGUAAAUUUGAUAGUGCUGGUAUAGCUUCUGGUAGUCUAAAUAACAGCAUUGGCAAAAUUUCAUCGUUAAGACUGAAUGUACAUAGCGAAAGUGAUAACUGGGCUAUUUUAAGUGAGAUACACCUUCAAGAUGAUUCCAGAAUUAGGUGACAAACCGAUUCUACAUUAUUGUAGAGUAUCCAGCUAGUAAGCAAUAAUCUGUGAUAUUUGUUCGUUGAUCUGCACAUUAAAAAUAUAACAGCAUCGAAACAUAAUUGCAAACAAACAACAAAUUUUAAGCAUAUAUUUUACGGACUUAAUGUAUUUCUAUCAUGCACAAAAUAAUAAGAAUUCUUACAUUUGUAUAUCAAUCUAAACAUAAAAGUUAAUUCAAUAUUUUUUAUCUAAGAGCUACGAGAACGCUAAGAGAAAAGCUAAGAGAACGUACACCUGUAGAUGUACGUUCUUAUGAUAUUUUAAUGACGUAAUUAUGGGAGCCUGGGAGGAGUAUAGUAGAAGAAACAAAGACACAGACAAAAUGCUAUACAAAUAAAAAAACGAACGAGAUGGAUUGAUGAAUUUAUAGAAGAGUUGGUGGAAGUAAAUAGCAAGAAUAAUGUAAAGCUAUAUACAGUAUGGUGCAAAUGUCUGGAAUAAAUUCGAUAUUUCGUAAACCGACGACUUUAUGAAAAAUCCCGAAGCAGGUCGAUUUUUAUUUUUAAAUUACGAUAUUUUGGCAUAUAUUUCAUAGGAGUGACGUCAUCCCUAUGAACGUGAUGACGCAAUCGAUGUUUUUUAAAUGAGACUAGGGGUCGUGUGAUAGCUCAUUUAAAAGGGUAUUCAAUUCUCUAUUCAGUAAUAUAAGUAUUAACAUAAUUGCUUAUACACAGUGUCCAAAAGAAUAUUUUUUUAAAUUAAAUUACAUAAUUGACAAAAAAA